AAUAUAAAAUUCCAAUUAAAGGAAUAAAUUAUUAAGAACUUCUAAUUCUUAAAAUUAUAUUAAAUUAUUAUUAU
rnacentral:tRNA from 1 species